rnacentral:rRNA from 1 species
GACGUAGGGUCCAAGCGUUGUCCGGAUUUACUGGGCGUAAAGCGCGCGUAGGCGGUCUGUUAAGUGCACAAGUGAAAGCUCCGGGCUCAACUCGGAAAUUGCUUUGCAUACUGGCAGGCUGGAGGAACGCAGAGGUCUGUGGAAUUCCUGGUGUAACGGUGAAAUGUGUUGAUAUCAGGAGGAACACCCAUGGCGAAGGCAGCAGACUGGGCGUUUCCUGACGCUGAGGCGCGAAAGCGUGGGUAGCAAACAGG